rnacentral:rRNA from 1 species
CAGCUCUCCGAGUGGUAGGGAUGAUUAUUGGGCUUAAAGCGUCCGUAGCCGGCUUAGCAAGUUUCCUGUUAAAUUCAGCGACUCAAUCGUUGAUCCGCGGGAAAUACUACUAGGCUAGGAGGCGGGAGAGGUCGACGGUACUUCUGGGGUAGGGGUGAAAUCCUAUAAUCCCGGGAGGACCACCAGUGGCGAAGGCUGUCGACUAGAACGCGCCCGACGGUGAGGGAUGAAAGCUGGGGGAGCGAACCGGAUUAGAUACCCGAGUAGUCC